CCUACGGGAGGCAGCAGUAAGGAAUAUUGGUCAAUGGACGCAAGUCUGAACCAGCCAUGCCGCGUGAAGGAUGAAGGUCCUCUGGAUUGUAAACUUCUUUUAUUUGGGACGAAAAAAGGGUUUUCUAACUCACUUGACGGUACCAGAUGAAUAAGCACCGGCUAACUCCGUGCCAGCAGCCGCGGUAAUACGGAGGGUGCAAGCGUUAUCCGGAUUCACUGGGUUUAAAGGGUGCGUAGGCGGGUAUGUAAGUCAGCGGUGAAAUCCCCGAGCUUAACUUGGGAACUGCCGUUGAUACUAUAUAUCUUGAAUGUUGUGGAGGUUAGCGGAAUAUGUCAUGUAGCGGUGAAAUGCUUAGAUAUGACAUAGAACACCCAUUGCGAAGGCAGCUAACUACGCAAAUAUUGACGCUGAGGCACGAAAGCGUGGGGAUCAAACAGGAUUAGAUACCCUGGUAGUCCACGCCCUAAACGAUGAUUACUCGACAUUGGCGAUACACAGUCAGUGUCUGAGCGAAAGCAUUAAGUAAUCCACCUGGGAAGUACGAUCGCAAGAUUGAAACUUCAAAGGAAUUGACGG
rnacentral:rRNA from 1 species